AAUUUACAAUGUGUAAUCAACUUAAAAUAUCAAAUUCCAAAUACAAAGAAUUUAUCCGAUGGAAGAAAAUAUCCCCCAAAUCCCUCAGUCUAUAAAGGUAUUGAGCCCAAAUAGUUCAGGCAAUAAAAACAUUGGGUUAUAGAUUUUGGACUCUGACCAAAUGUUCAAAUCUAAAUGGUCUUGUUUGGGCUGGUGUUCUGUCAAACUCAUCCCCUAAAUCCCUCAGUUCCAGACUCCCAAGUGGAGUCCGCAUAAUGCAUUCUGCAGAAGAAAUUUCAAUAGCCACUUUCAUUGCCUUUACACAAGUGGAGUCUGCAUAAUGCAUUCUGUUUCUAAAACCUAACAAAAAGGUAAUUACAUCUCUUGUUUUGUCCCCCAAAUUCUUCAUUUCACUCUUUAGUGCUUGCCAAAUUUUACUUUUCCAACUUUAUUUACCAAGACCAUGUUGCUCAACCUCGGUUUUAGUUGCGAUUUUAUUCUUUACUUUGUACGUAUGAACCCCACCCAGUCCCUAUCUUUAUAUUAUUUAUAGUAUAAUUUGGAUGCAAAAAGGUAAUGGGGUACAAACUUCUUGCUUCAUAAAGAAGCCAAGGUUAACAUUUGUGUUCCCUUUUCAUCAUUUCACCUUGCACCCGUACAUCUAAAAAUGAAAUUGUCCAUAACUUUUUUGACUUGCAAUGAUUAGUUUGGUCUAGCGGCACACAAUCUUCACUUAACAAAAAAAUGUUUCGAGUUUACUCACACAGAACGAUAAUAAUAUAUUUAUAAUGAGUUUGAUAGGGUGCAUGAAAGAGUGAACUACAAGGCUUUUGCAUAUAAAAUGCAUUUGAGCAUCACUGCCAAUAAUAAUUGGGAAGCCUUUCGUGGAAAAAUAAGCUAAAAUACAAAAUAAAAUUGAAAAGGAAUCCGAGGGCCAUGUUAUGAAUGUAUUGAACAAUGGUAAUUACUAAUUAGAACACUAGUUGAGAAUUAUGACACUUUGCAUGAUCAUUCCAUAUGGUUAUGAAUCAUGAUCAGUAAUCAUGAUCAAAUAAUCAUUUGUAAUUAGAGAAUUAAUUAUAUGUGGACUACAAUUCAAUAGACAGGUAGAACAAGGGCCUACACUUUAAGAAAAUUUGGUGUAAAGAUAGAGAGCAGCGGUAAAGCCAUGACUUAUAAAGUUUGCGGAAAGGAUAUACAUUGAUUCUUCUGAAUUUUGAUAGACUAUGAAAUAAACAGGAACGACAAAAUAAGAAUUCAAUUUCAAUUUUGGUUAGUGCUUGGAUUUUUCAAAUAAAUAAAGGGGUGUGAUAUCCACACACCUCAUUUUACUUCUCAUACACCUUUUUAAUUUUCGAUCGUCGGAUCGGAUGAAUUGAAGAAGAUCAAUGGACAAAAAUUAUCAAGAGGUGUGUGAGAAGUAAAAUAGGGUGUGUGGAUAGCACACCCCUAAACAAAUAUAUCAAAAAGCUAAAGGAAGCAUAAAAAUUUAGAGCGUAUCCAUAACUGUUUGUCCACAUAUCCAAAUUAUGGAAAUAGUAUUCUAGUUUUAUUUAUUAAAAAAUAAAAAAUAAAUUUUGGAUAUGUUGAUAUAAACUACAUUGGUAUGAAACUUGUCGUUAAGAAGUGUUAGUGUUAAAAACUCAGACAUAGUUAAAACGUAUUUGUCUUGAGUGUUACUUUCAGUCUCAAUACAGCAAGAUGGCUUCAUAAGAAGAGAGAAUAGGCGUGCCACUGUGGGAGUGUUUAUGAAAGUUCUGCAUAAAAUCAGACUUUUUAACCAAAUGAUUGUGCAACAAAUGAGACGCUAGUUUGGUUAAGUUUUUUAUUUAUUUAUUAUUUUUUAUUUUUAUAUGCUUCGGCGAACGAGGACUUAAAAUCCAAUUUGAAAAUAAGUGUUUGCCUAAGUUAAAAUUGAAAAUAAGAUAAGAGUAGAGACAAAAAAUUGAAUGUAAUCAUUUCACGAUGGAAUCGAGAAUGUAAGCGUUUAUAAAAGAGAAUUGGGCUGAUGAACCAAUCUACAUGACUUAAAAAAUAAAUAAAUUGUAAAAUAUAAGGAAAGCAGUAAACUUUAGCAAUUUCCAUGCUAUGUAAUUAAGGUAGAAUAAUGCUAGAGGAAUUGUUUUAUCACGGGGGUGGACUGAAGGGAAAACUUUGUCUCAAAGAGGUGAUUAGUUUUGGUUGGAAUGUUCAUUAACUGAAUCAUACCAUGAGGUUGCAAUUGUCACAGCCCGUCCCGAAAUAUUUAUUUUCAACAGCGUGAGAUUACUUAUUUACUCUUGGAUGUUUUGUGUGGUUAUGUGGGUGAAGUUUUAUUUGGACCAAUUCAAAGAUUUUCCUAAGUUUUUGGAACAUUUGGGACUUAAAGAGUUUGUUUUGUGUAUUGGAAGACCUUAGGGCUGGUUUGGUAUUGCUGUGCUUUGAAAAAAAACUGAUGUGAGAAUAAGCGGCUGUGCUGUGAGAAUAAGCGGCUGUGAAAUAAAUCAGCAGAGUGUUUGGUAAACUUUUUUGUAAAAGUGCUUUUGGAAAAAAAAAAGCAGUCUAAUAGUGGAUCUUUUCAUUAAAGGAGCACUGUAGUUCUAUGUGCUUUGAAAAAAAACCAGUUUUCCAAAGCUACAAAUUGCAGCUUCAGCUUUUUCCUUUGAUUUCA
rnacentral:lncRNA from 1 species